AUGUGGUUCCCGCUCUGCUUCGUCGUCGUCGUCGCUCUUCUGGUCGCUCCGGGAGGGUGCCAGGGCGACAAGGGGAGCCAGGUGUACGUGGUGUACAUGGGCGCCGUGCCGCCACGGACCUCGCCUGACUUCCUCCGCCAGAGCCACCUCCGCCUCGUCGGCACCAUUCUCAAGAGGGGAAAGCUGGCGCAGAGCGUAGUGGUGCAGCAGUACAAGCACGGCUUCUCAGGGUUCGCGGCGCGGCUGUCCAAGGACGAGGCCGCCGCGCUCAGGCACAAGCCCGGCGUCGUCUCCGUGUUCGCCGACCCCGUGUACCAGCUCCACACCACCAGGUCCUGGGACUUCCUGCAGCAGACGGACGUGAAGAUCGACUCGGCUAAGCGCCGCUCGCCCAGACCCACGGCGGCGUCGACGUCGGCGCCGACCACGGACACCAUCAUCGGCCUCCUGGACUCCGGCAUCUGGCCCGAGUCCCCCAGCUUCGACGACGCCGGCUUCGGACCCGUCCCCAGCAAGUGGAAGGGCGUCUGCAUGGCCGGCGACGACUUCAACACCUCCAACUGCAACAAGAAGUUGAUCGGAGCAAGAUACUACGAUCUCGGCGAGGUGGACGGCGGCCGGACCCGGAGCAGCGGCGGCUCGCCGCGAGACGCGGCGGGGCACGGGACGCACACGUCGUCCACGGCGGCCGGGAACGCGGUGACCGGCGCCUCGUACUACGGGCUGGCCCAGGGGACCGCCAAGGGGGGAUCCGCCGCGUCGAGGGUGGCCAUGUACCGCGUCUGCUCGGACGAAGGCUGCGCCGGGUCGGCCAUCCUCGCCGGCUUCGACGACGCCAUCGGCGACGGCGUGGACGUCAUCUCGGUCUCCCUCGGCGCGUCGCCCUACUUCUCUCCGGAUUUCUCCGAGGACCCGAUCGCCAUCGGCUCGUUUCACGCCGUGGCCAAGGGGGUCAUGGUGGUGUGCUCGGCGGGCAACGCCGGGCCGGAGGCGUCCACGGUGGUGAACGCGGCGCCGUGGAUCAUGACGGUCGCGGCCACGACCAUCGACCGCGACUUCGAGUCGGACGUCGUGUUGGGUGGGAAUAGCAGCGCUGUCAAGGGUGGGGCUAUAAACUUCUCCAACCUGGACAAAUCCCCGAAGUACCCGUUGAUCGCAGGUGCAUCAGCAAAGUCUAGUUCGGCUUCUAGCACUUCUGACUCAGCAAGUCACUGUGAGCCCGGCACCCUGGAUGCCGGCAAGAUCAAAGGCAAGAUCGUGCUGUGCAACCACUCGCAGAGCGACACGUCCAAGAUGGUGAAGGCCGACGAGCUCCAGAGCGCCGGGGCGGUGGGAUGCAUCCUGGUGAACGACUUCGGGAGGGCGGUCACCACCGCCUACCUCGACUUCCCCGUCACGGAGGUCACCUCCGCCGCCGCGGCCGACCUUCACAAGUACAUUGCCUCCACAAGCGAGCCCGUGGCGACGAUCACGCCAACGAUCACCGUGACGGAGUACAAGCCGGCGCCCGUCGUGGCCUACUUCUCCUCUAGGGGCCCGUCAUCGCAAACCGGCAACAUCCUCAAGCCGGACGUGGCUGCGCCGGGGGUGAACAUCCUCGCGUCGUGGAUCCCAACGACGUCACUUCCGGCCGGCCAGAAGCAGCCGUCGCAGUUCAACCUCGUCUCCGGGACGUCCAUGGCCUGCCCCCACGUCGCCGGGGCCGCGGCCACCGUCAAGGCCUGGAACCCGACGUGGAGCCCGGCGGCCAUCCGGUCAGCCAUCAUGACAGCAGCAACUCAGCUGAACAACGACAAGGCUCCGAUGACGACGGACGCGGGGACGGCGGCGACGCCGUUCGACUACGGCGCGGGGCAGGUGAACCCGACCGGCGCGCUGGACCCCGGGCUGGUGUACGACCUCGCGGCGGACGACUACCUGAGCUUCCUCUGCAACUACGGCUACGGCGCGUCCCAGAUCAAGCUCAUCACCUCCCCUCCGGCCGCCUUCAGCUGCGCCGGCAACGCGAGCAAGGAUCUCAUCUCCGACCUCAACUACCCGUCGAUCGCCGUCACGGGGCUCGGCGCCGGCGCCAGCAGGACAGUGACCCGUGAGGUCACCAACGUCGGAGCGCAGGAAGACGCCACCUAUACCGUCGCCGUCAGCGCGCCGGCCGGUCUGGAUGUGAAGGUCGUGCCCAGCAAGCUCCAGUUCACCAGCAGCGUGAAGAAGCUGGCUUUCCAGGUCACCUUCUCAGGCAAGAACACAGGGGCCAAGGCCGCCCUGACAGGAUCCAUAACAUGGUCAGAUGGGAAACAUACAGUCCAUAGCCCAUUCGCAGUCAGCAGCAGCUGA
rnacentral:rRNA from 1 species